rnacentral:rRNA from 1 species
UACGUAGGGUGCGAGCGUUGUCCGGAAUUAUUGGGCGUAAAGGGCUCGUAGGCGGUUUGUCGCGUCGGGAGUGAAAACCCAGGGCUUAACCCUGGGCUGGCUUCCGAUACGGGCAGACUAGAGGUAUGCAGGGGAGAACGGAAUUCCUGGUGUAGCGGUGAAAUGCGCAGAUAUCAGGAGGAACACCGGUGGCGAAGGCGGAUCUCUGGGCCUGUUCUGACGCUGAGGAGCGAAAGCGUGGGGAGCAAACAGG